rnacentral:rRNA from 1 species
AUAUUGGACAAUGGGCGAAAGCCUGAUCCAGCCAUGCCGCGUGUGUGAAGAAGGGCUUCGGAUUGUAAAGCACUUUAAGUUGGGAGGAAGGGCAUUAACCUAAUACGUUAGUGUCUUGACGUUACCGGAAGAAUAAGCACCGGCUAACUCGGUGCCAGCAGCCGCGGUAAUACAGAGGGUGCAAGCGUUAACCGGAAUUACUGGGCGUAAAGCGCGCGUAGGUGGUUCGUUAAGUUGGAUGUGAAAUCCCCGGGCUCGACCUGGGAACUGCAUCCAAAACUGGCGAGCUAGAGUAUGGUAGAGGGUGGUGGAAUUUCCUGUGUAGCGGUGAAAUGCGUAGAUAUAGGAAGGAACACCAGUGGCGAAGGCGACCACCUGGACUGAUACUGACACUGAGGUGCGAAAGCGUGGGGAGCAAACAGG